rnacentral:lncRNA from 1 species
UUUUUUUUUUUCCUUCUCUUUUUGUUGGGGUUUAUUUGGAAACUAUUUGGAAACGAUGAAAGUGGAAAAGUAGACAGAUGAUACAUCAUUAGAUGAUUGUACAAUGAAGGCGUUAUAUUAUCGAAAAGAAAGGGUGGAAAAGAAUAUAUAUAAAUAAAGAAAAGGAAUUCUUUUGAUAGGACCAGGCAUCACCUUUUGUAUUCGGUGUGGAUAAAAGAUCUUCCUAUGUUAUACUAUUCAAUUCUCGAUGGUGAAUCGAUUUGAUAGCCUAGAUAUUGUUAUUCAUGAUAUUGAUUUGAUUCGAUGUCUUUGAAAUGUAAGUCAUUGCAUUGAAUUUACAAGCGACAAAUUUAUCAUCUCUAUGGGAUUAAAUCCUGAGUUAUUGCAAAGUAAAAAAAAUGAAAUUAUAGAAGUAAAUAUUCUCACAUUUACUGCUACAUUGUUGUUCAUUCUAGUUUCUGCCGCUUUUUUACUUAUAAUAUACAUAAAAACUGUCAGUCAAAGUGAUUAAUUUGAAUGAAACUUGACUUUUAUCAAGGUGUUAAGAAAAAAAGGAUUCAAAUCUCACAUCUUAAAUAAAAUGAAUGAACUAGAAUAAGCAGCAUCCUAUAAAACUCGAUAGUAUGAUAGAAAAAAAUAUGAAUCUUUCUACCAUACUAUCUAUAUCUAUUAUUGUAAUGUAGAAAGAUACAAGCUUAAUAUAGAUGAAUCCACAAUAUGUAUCGUCAUACAUGUCGAUAUCAAUUAAAUAUAUUCAUUGUACAUAGUAUCUCAAUUUUAUUUCUUCGUUUGAUCUCUUUUAUUUGUGUUGAUUUCAAUUAAUCUGAAAUAAUUGAAAGGCAAGUCUUACGAUUUUAUAAUUCUUUCAUUUCUUGGAUUUGAUUCUUUUGGUGGAUACCGAGAUUCCUAUUAAAAUAAUCAGAAAUGAAGGAAAAUGGAAUGGAAUAGGCAUAUAUUAAUUAAAUUAAUAAAAAAGAAAACCAAGUAAUCGUUUUUUAACAUUCCAAAGAAGUAAUUCAUUGAGCAACGGAUAGAUGAUCCAAAGAGUUCUAUGGUAACUUUUCGUAUUUCGUUUUGAAAAAAUGGUAUACCCUACCGAUUUUGAAUUUAACUUCUUUGAUCCAUGCUAUGAUAUGAGUCAAUAAAGCAUUUCAUAAAUGAAAUUCAAAUAAAACAGGGGGUAAGUGUCUAAUAUGUGACUACACUAAGGCAUGAUUUUAUUAAAUUAAAUUAAAUAAAAAAAAGACUCUCUCUUUUUUCUCUUUGAAUAGUAAAGAGGGAGGGAAAUAAAAACAAGCAAAUACAAAAACAAAAGGGGUUCCUUGUCCCUUAUUAUACGUUUAUAACUCUAGUAAGAGCUGGUUCAUCAAAAUACAAAAUUUAGGAAGAAUUCUUUUUUUUUAAUUGUCUAUCAUCCAAAUCCCUUUUACUUUAGAAAUACAAACAUGGGGAUUAUUGAAAUGUUUUUUUGAUUUUGAUUGAAAAGGUGUUAUUCAUAGAAUACAUUACUCCACUAGAAUCUAAGAAUUUCGAAAUUAAGACUAAUAAAAUAGUUAAAAUAAAAAAAAAGCUUUGCAAAACUAUCUAGAAAAUAAUUGAUACAGUUUGAUUCCUCAACCCCAAUUAGGAGUACCCCUAAAGCCCACUUCUUCCCCAUACUACGAGUGAAAGGGAAAAUGUAAAGACUACCAUUAAAGUAGCCCAAACAAGACUUACUAUAACCAUGUGUAUUAUGUCCCAUAUCUCUAUGAAUAUGAAACAAAUAUGAAGGAAUUUAAAUUUUCCAUUAUUGUUCACUAAUAAUAGUGGAAUUACUAGAGCAGAGUCAAAAAGAAAAGGGAAUUGCGACACGCCAUCGUUGAUGAAUCAUUUCGAUAAAUCCACUUAUAACAAGCUCUUACAUGAUUUCGAGUAAAAUCAAGAACCAUUAAGCACAAGCAAAAUUCACAGUAACACUUUUAGAAGUAUCAAAAGAAUGUUACUCACAUGUAUCAAUAAUAAGACUUAUUCUUUCUUUUUGUGUCCCUCACUAAGUAAAAGCCAAUUAUCUAUCCAAUCUAAUAUUAAUUGGAUGCCUGAACACUCAGAGACUUUCAUCCAUCUGUAUACAAAGUAUCUUCCAACCCUUCUAUAACCAUUCAUUAGUUAAUUAGAUACUCCCGUUAUCCAAUCUAAUUCAAGACUCCUCUAGUAGCCACUCCAUUAGUAAAGGGGGCUCCCAUAUCAAGAUUUACUGAUUCCCUUCCACUACUUUAGUUUUUCCUUGAAUCCUAGACGUUAGGAGACGUUAGGAUUUCAAGUUUUUUGUUGAUCAGGUGACACUUGGAUUUGAACUAGGGAAUAGGGGAUUUGCAAUCCCCCGCCUUACCGCUCGACCAUGUCGCCAAAAGGCUACCAACAAAAAAAAGGGAAAGUAUCUCCCUUUUCUUUUUCAUUUUUAAAUCGGAUCCAUACCUUCAAUUGGUUAUAGUAUCUCAAGACAUACAAUAUCUAAAAACUUUCCCUUUCUUUUCUAUUGAAAAAGAAAAUGUGGAUUCUUAGUUAUAAAAGUCAAAAUUCAGGACAAAUAAAUCGGAACCAUUAACUAUUGACUGCAAAUUUAUGGAUUAUUCUUCUUCACUUGGCUUUUUCUAAUGGUAUAAGAAAAUAAAAAUGGAUACAUAACUAAUCAGUAUUGAUCUUUUUUUCCAAUAAAAUUUUUUUCUGAAUUUCAAGUAUAUUAUAAUAAUAUAACAACAAUUAUGAGUCUAUGUAAACCCCAGAGCAUAAGUUGUUACACAGUUAUAGUUAUCUAAUGAGGUAUUUUAUCUAUCUAGAUAUGAUGUCCAUAGGGAAUCAGCACGAAAUUAUCGUGUUUCAAUUUUUCAUUGAAUAGAUUAAAAUAAAAGAAAAAAUAGAAUUUUUGAUAGAGCACGCCAUGUCUUGUCUCCAUUAGAGCGUUAUAAUAGAAUAAAAGAAAUACAUAUAUAAAUAGAAAUGAUAUAUCUGCACAUGUUUAAUAAAUAUAAGCCCCAUUUUUGUAUGCACUUCAAUCAUAUUCUAAGUAUUCUACUAAAAAAUAAAAAACUAAAAAGUGGAUAAAAACAUCUAUCUUCUCUGCGAAUCGUUUUUUGAACAAUGGAGUCCAUGAAAAAAUUAAUCACUAGAAAAAUCAACUCUCUCCUUAUAUAUAUAGUUUAUGAUUAUUUUGUCUUUAUCUGAACAAAUAGAUCAAAUUAGGAAUUCCUUUCAUUUUUUUGGUAUUCAAUCGGAUUGGAAUAUGUAAUACCAUAAUAAUGGUAGAAAUUGAAUUAUUUUUUUAUAUUAUAUACAAAAACAAAACUCCAUGCGGCUAAAUGGCAUUUAUCAAUUUUUUCUGUAAUUGUUUGUUAUAAAUAUAAAUUAUAAUUUGAUUAUAAUUUUUCUUCUUCCGUUCAUACACAUUUCAUAUUUCAUACAUUCCACAUAUAUUAUAUGGUAUAUGGAGUUAGAUAAAAUUUCAUGUGAUUCAGUAAAUAAAAUAGAAAUUCAAUUCCAUCAUUAUUAGAUCGAUUCGUAGGAUUCGAUGAAGAAUAAGAAAAAAAUGGGAUUUUGUUGAGAAAUGGGAAAUUCAAAAUGCUCGGGGGAUAAAAAUGGGGAAAUACCUACAAUACCUGGGUUGAAUCAGAUACAAUGUGAAGGAUUUUGUGGGUUCAUGGAUCAGGGCUUAACAGAAGAACUUUAUAAGUUUAAAAAAAAUUGAAGAUACAGAGCAAGAAAUUGAAUUUCAAUUAUUUGUGGAAACAUAUCAAUUGGUGGAACCAUUGAUAAAAGAAAGGGAUGAAGUAUAUGAAUCACUCACGAUAUUCUUCUGAAUUAUAUGUAUCCGUAGGAUUAAUCUGGAAAACCAGUAAGGAUAUGCAAGAACAAAUAAUUUUUACUGGAAACAUUCCUUUAAUUGUCAAUCUCGGAACUUCUAUAGUAAAUGGAAUAUACAGUAUUGUUAUCAAUCAAAUAUUGCAAAGCCUCAGUAUCUAUUGUCAAUCAGAAUUGGAUCAUAACCAUAAUAUCAAAUUAGGGAGGGAGGUUAGAAUUAGAGAUUGAUAGAAAAGCAAGGAUAUGGGCUCGUGUAAGUAGGAAAUAGAAAAUAUCUAUUCUAGUUCAGUAGGAAAUAGAAAAUAUCUAUUCUAGUUCUAUCAUCAACUAUGGGUUCGAAUCUAAGAGAAAUCCUAGAGAAUGUUUGCUACCCUGAGAUUUUAUUGUCUUUCCUGGCCGAUAAGGAAAAAAAUUGGGUUAAAAGAAAAAGCCAUUUUUUAUUUUUAUUAACAAUUUUCUUGUGUAGGAGGAGAUCCGGUAUUUUCUGAAUCCUUGUGUAAGGAAUUACAAAAGAAAUUCUUUCAGCAAAGAUGUGAAUUAGGAAGGAUUGGUUGACAAAAUAUGAACCAGAGAUUGAAUCUUAAUAUACCUCAGAAGAAUACCUUUUUGUUACCGCGAGAUAUAUUGGCAACUGCAGAUCGUUUGUUUGGAAUGGGUACACUUGACAAUAUGAAUCAUUUGAAGAAUAAGUGUAUUCAUUAUGUAGCAGAUCUCUUACAAGAUCAAUUUGGAUUGGCUCUGGUUCGUUUAGAAAAUGUAGUUAGAGGAACUACAUGCGGAGCAAUUAGGCAUAAAUUGACACCGACUCCUUAGAAUUUGAUAACUUCGACUCCAUUACCAACCACUUAUGAAUCCUUUUCGAACUACACCUACUGUCUCAAGUUUUGGAUCGAACAAAUCCAAUGACACAAAUAGUGCAUAGGAGAAAAUUGAGUUAUUUGGGCCCCAGAGGAUUAACCGAGCAAACUAUUAAUUUUGGAUAUGAGAUAUCCAUCCUAGUCACUAUGGACGCAUUUUCCCAAUUGACACGUCUGAAGGGAUCAAUGUUGGACUUAUCGGAUCCUUAGUAAUUCAUGCCAGGAUUGGUCAUUGGGGGUCUCUAGAAAGUCCAUUUUAUAAAAAUCUUUGAGAGAUCAAAAAAAGAACAGAUGCUUUAUUUAUCCCCA